UUUCCUAAUACUCUACCCAUUUGACUUGCCUUACAUAUUCUGACCAUAAUUUAAAAGACUAAAACACUGUUCAAGGUCAUAGAGGCUUGGACAGAUCUCCAUUCAGGAAGAAGAUCUGCUCACUUUAUCGCCGCCGUCAUUGUGCUUUUAUGUUCUUCCUCACCGUGAGAUUGUGGUGGAUCUGAGGUUCGUGUGGUCAAGCCAAGUCGCCGCCAGGAAAAUCUCUUCCAAGUCGUUGUCCUUGUUUUGUUCAUCAUUAGAUUGCGUCGGAUCUACUGAUUUAAGUCAUCGCACGGACAACGCAGACGUCGCCUUCGAGCUGCUUUUGAGUUUGUCGGAUCUACAAAUUGUAGUUUGUCUGGCUGAUUCGCCAUUGUUGAGCUCUGAGUUGGUUGGAUCUGAUUCAUUCGCUUUGUUUUCUAAUAGAUUGAGAAAAACAAUCUAUCGGAUUCCUCUUCACACUGGUGGCGACGACCCGAGACCUCCAAUUAUUUUUUAGUUAAAAGUUAAAAAAACUAAUUUGGUAGAGUUUGGCAUAUAAUUAACCAGAUUACUCUUUGGCGGCUGGUGCGGGUGAUCUUAGACGGUCAGAUUACUCUCCGACAAAAGGCGUCAGCUAGCAUUGGCAACCGACGUUGGUGAAGGCGACUAACGGUGAGAUUACUCUCCGACAAUUGGUGACGGUGACCGACAUUAAAGAUCGGAGCGAUGAUGACGACUGGUAGCAGACGGCGGCCGAAAAUCAACAGCCAGCUUCCGAUGUCGGUGACAUGAGAUUGCCUUCUAGUGGCAUCUGGUAAUUUACCAGCGGUAAUCUAUAAGAUUACUUUUUUUGACUAUCAGGGUAAUUUCAGUAAUUCAUAUGACCGUUGACUGAUUCUAGUUCAAAAGGUAAAAAUCAAGAGGCUAAUGUUUGUAGGACAAGACAUUAAAAGGUGUCUAUUUAAGAGAAAAAUUAUGUAUUUAACUAUCAUUUUUUUUACUAUCUUUAUAUUUAUGCCCCUUAAAUUUUUUUCUGGUUUAAUGAAAGACAUAUUUUUACUAUGCCACUUUAA